rnacentral:lncRNA from 1 species
AAGAGCUUAAUGCUAAUUAAAAUGAUUGUUAGUGAAUUCAUGAAAAACAUAUACAUGCAUUCAUGAAUAUAUGUGAUAUUGGAUAUUCCAAUAAAGAAGGAUAUCGGAUUAUAUUUAUCCGAUAAAGAAGGAUAUUAGAGGUGAGAUACUCUAAUAAAGAAGAUGGUACCACAUGCAUUAGAGGUGUCUAGAGGACAUAGCAUGAAUGUGAAGCAUUAGAUUGCAUUAAGGAUUAUGUGUGCAUUUUAUUAUAAAUGAUGUUUGACACAUACUUGGUAAAUGUUGAUUGUUAAUCCGUAUGUGAGGAGCAGAGUCCGUCAUGACUAUAAAAUGAACAACGCAGGGUCCGUCAUGACCAUAAUCUGAACAGUGUAUU